UUAUUAUUAAAACAGUAGACCCGGACAAAAUCGGUGUCUACAAUACUAGUCAUUUUGAUAUGCACAAUGAUUUUAAGUUCGUUAUGAACUUUAUGAUUUUUUCAAAUAAUGUUAAUCAAUCUGUUUUUCAAUUUCAUUUGUAUAGGAAUACAAAAGAGAGUUUUAGAGUUCAAAUAAGAGGCUGUUGUUGAUUCAUUUGUUGAUCUAAUUGAUAUGUAUGUGAUUAAAUUAGUAUUAUGUAUCAGAAUGCUAUGUAAGACAAUCCUUGUGCCCCGUCUCUUUGUUUUAUAUACCUGAUGGACCAAAUACAUAAUAUAUAGGAAAAUAUACCAUUAACGAAUUUUCAACUGUGGAUACAUGUCUAUCCUUACCAUACAGAAACAAAUGCUAUUAAUAAGCCAAUUAUGUUAUAUUAUAAAGCAGUUUUUUUUUUUUUUUUUUGUGGCUUUACACAUACCUUAGUUGCAAUAACUCCUCUUGCCCUGGUAGGUCUGAAGUUCAAAUGCUCUCCCACAAAUUAUUAACUAUUAAAAGAAGAUGCAAAUAUUUGGAUCUGCUUAAAAAAUUUGUGUUCAAAUGAUGCUCAAGUCAAAUUUAAUUUAACAAGUAUUCUAGAUUAUAGUUUCUGAUUUUUAUAAGGUUAUAUACUUGUUUCAUACUUAGGAUGGUGUUUUACGUUGUACUUAGGGGAUUCUUAUUAUAUUAUGUCGAGACCUUGUGGUAUAUGCCAAACAGGAUAAAAAUUUUGCUUGGUAGUCUCAAUUUGCUUUCGUUAUAUCUUUUGUAAGUUCAUAUUCUCGUGAUGUUAUUACUGAAAGGAUUAAAUGUUCCUUGCAGGCAUAUUGAAAUUUGAGAUUGUGGCUUUUUAAAUGAUAGGAAGGCGGCGCCUGGGAUUUCUGUUGGGUUAAGGAUGGAGAAUUGCAUGUUACCGUACCAGAAUUUAUUUGUUGAUUAUAUAGCUUUUUAUAUUGAUCUUAUUGAUUUGAUGGUGAAAUGGAAUGGGAUGAUAUAGUGACAGGCCAUGCAACAAUUAAGUAAUAGUUUUUGUGAUUGAUCCAUUGUCCCAUUUCUAUGUUGGUGUUUCUUUCUCUGAAACUCUUGGCUUGAAACUGGUGAUUACUUCAAUUUUGAACCUUUUCUUUCUGCAUUGUGAUAAUUAUUGGAUUUUGAAGUGCAAAUGCUAUCUAAAGUUGUUUGAUUCUCCUUUGAACUCACUGGCUGAAGAAGAGGAUGACACAUCAAAGACUCCUUCUCAGAAAAAGAAAAUGAAGAAGCAGAGGAAGGUGGAACGAGCUAAGAAAGUAUAUCAGCUUGUUUUGGUGAUUCUUGGCUAACACUCUCUUUGAUGAUUUCAUUCUGAUGCCGUGUAUUAUUUUAAGAGGCAGAGGAGAAAAAUGAAGAAUCAAGUUCUAGUGGCAUCUCUAAGUCUGGGAAACGACAUGUUAAACCUGUAGAUCCUUAUCCUUUUGGAGAAAAAUUAUUGAAGGUUACCUAUUAUUAUCUUUUCCCUGUGCUUUAGAUUCCUGAUUAAAGUCCUCGUGCUGUAAAAAUGUGUUACGCUAAUGCCUAUUAAGCUAAGACUGUUUAAUCUGUAUUUUUUUUUUCAGACAGAGUAUCCCUUGUCAGAAGCAACGAAGUACUUGAAUUUGCUUCAGAAGAACUCACCUGAUUCUUUGGAGACGCACUUACUUUCUGUUGAAGUAAAUAUGAGAAAGCAGAAGAUUUUGCUUGCCUUUCAGGUAUUAUAUUUUCCAAGAAUUGAACAUGAGAUGUGUUUCUUGUUCUUUUUGUGUUUGGUCAACUAGAACUGAUAUUUAAUUGUCAGCUAGUGAUUUGUGAGGAAGCCCCUUCUCUUGUUUUCUCCUCUCUUUUUUCACUUUCUGCCUGUGGAUAUGUUCUUGAAAUAAAGAAACUGUACCGUUUAACCAAACAUCCUUUUCUUAUUGCUCUACUCACUCAAUGAAUUUAUGUGUGAAUUAGAUAGUUUGCACGACAUAUCUUUGAGUUGUAGAACAAUGGUUUUGUGCAGUAGUACUUUUACUAUUUCAUGAGCUCAUAUUAGUACGUUUGUCUUGGUUUUAUUUUGUUUUCCUGAAGGCUGUAAAGCAACUGCUAAGGCUGGAUGCUGAGAAUCCAGAUUCACAUCGCUGCUUGGUAUGUAACAUCUGCCCUACCAUAUUUGUGCACUGCCAUGCACAACUGCAUUCUUUUCUGUUCUUAGAUACAAAGAUCAUGUAAUCUUUACAAUGCUUAUUUGAAUUUAAUCUAAUGCAGAUUAAAUUUUUCCAUAAAUUGGGCUCAAUGCCUGCUCCAUUAACUGAUGCUGAAAAACUUGUUUGGAGUGUCUUAGAAGCUGAGCGUCCAUCCAUCAGGUUCUCUUUGAAAUGGUUUUAUGAUAGCUAUUCCCCCUACUAGAAUUUUGUUGUGUUACUGUUACUAUUAUUAUUUUGAUCCCUGAUGCAUUAAAUCCCUUUAUUUUCUCUUUCCGCAGUCAAUUGCAGGAGAAAACUCUUAGUGAGGCGAACAAAGUUUUCCUUGGUAAACAUGAAGGAAGGUAUUACGACCUUUACAUAACAUGAUGCAUUUUAGGUUCCUUGAGGUAGGUUGUAUAAUCAUGCAAAUUUCACUUUUUGGUUCUGCAGAAUCUUUGAUGCAUAUAGUGGCAGUUGCAGAAAUGUUAUAUACCUUGGAGCAGACCAAGAAACUUGAGGCUGUUAAGUAGAGAAUUAGUUGGUGGAGGACAAAUUGGAAUGUGUGAGGAAUUUGGAGACCUUCUGAAGGUUUGAUUUCUACCAUCUUAAUUUUAUUUAAAUUUUUUUACUUCAAAUAAUGCCCGAUUUGAUUUUUUUCUAUUUUUUUCUGAUGAUAAAAUGUGUUCUCGUUAUAGACUGUAGAUAAUGAUAUUGCUAGUGUAAACUGUUUUAUUAUGUCUUAGCUGUUAGUCAUAUUAAUUUGAUUUUCUGUUUGGUAUUUUUUUUUAAUGAGCUCCAAAUGGUACCUUGGGAUGUUCUGUUCAUUAUAUUUACUCUGGAUUUCCUCUCUCUCUUAUUUAUAGAAUCACAUGAUGCAAAUCCAACGAAAACCUUACUUUUUUGUAGAGCUAUCAAGCUUUCUCCCCUUUUCUAGAGAGAGGAGGGGCGGCUAUUUUUACAAAUACUCUUGUAGGGAUCUUGUUUUUCUUGAUGGCUUGAUAAGAAAUUAUGUGACAAAAAUCUAGUGAUGUGGUUCUACAAUAGACACAGUCCAUUCGAUGGCUUGUGAUAUUCUUAAAUAAUCUAGAAAUAGAUAGUUGUGGUAUUAUGCUGAAAUACUUCAUUGAUGUCUUGAUGUGACAAUAGUAAGAACUCUAGGUGGUUAAAAUUAUGCUUUCAUAUGCUUCACCCCUAGAGAGUUGACAUGGUGGCUAAUUCUUUUAUUAGUGGCUAUCUUUAGCUCAUUCUUUUAGUUAAACUGACUUUCCUAUUUAAAAACCUUUUGACGAUGGGCCAGGUUAUGGCAUGAUUGAAAUAAAGUGUCAAACUCUAGAGCUUUUGGAAUUUGACUCAUGCAGUGAGGAUGUAUUUAAAUUGUUUUCUUCCUGUAACUCACAUUUGUAAUGUAUUCAUUCAUGAGAAUUGUAAUUAUUGCUGUUACAAUGUGCAUCAUUAUUGCCAAUAAAUGCUACUUCCUUUAUGAUGUGUGAUGAAUGUUCUAGGACUUAUAUUAAAACUUUGUUUUCUCAAUUUUUAGAGGAUACCACUUGAUUUACUGCAAGGAAACAAAUUUCGUAAAGCGGCAAUUGAUUGCAUUAAGCCUUUUCUAGCCUUUAUAUACAGGUGAGUGUUUUUUUUUUUUUUUUAUUAGUUUGAUUGGUGUUUUUUAGUUUGACUGGCUAUUGUUUCUUGAUCUUUUGGAGAAGUUCUUGGAAUUUUCUUGAAGCUGGGUCUAUGUGUAUAUUAUUUACUUCUCUUUGGUGACAGAGUCGGAUACUGAAACAUGUUGGUGAUUUGGUAGCUGUGGCUUCAUUGACAGAUGAAGCUAGGUGUAUGGAUCUUGCAGAUCGCUAUGUAAACAGUUAAUCUGUGAAGCGAAUGUUGCAGUCUGAUCAGGUUCUAAGGUUUCCCCACUUCAUCUUUUGUCAUAGUUAAUAUUUGUCACUAAAUUUCUUUCGGUAUUAUUGUACUGUUCACAAGCUUUUUCUACUUUUGAAGGUGGCUUUGGCAGGAAAAACUGCUGUUUUGUUCACGAAAGAUGGGGGCCAGCACAACAACCUUCAUGACAUGCAGUGCAUGUGGUAUGUUUUUGUUUAUUACCUUCCACAUGUUGUUGUCUCUAAUUAUAAUUUGGGUACACCUACUGAGUGUUAUCCAUCUUUUGAAGGUAUGAACUUGCUUCUGAUGAAAGUUACUUUCGACAUGGUGAUUUUGGACGGGCCCUAGAGAAAUUUAUAGCUGUGGAGAAGCACUAUGCUGAUAUUACUGAAGAUCAAUUUGAUUUCCAUUCUUAUUGUUUGCGGAAAAUGGCACCACGUGCAUAUGUUGGAAAGCUAAAAUUGAAAGAUUGGUUGCAUUCACAUGCUUAUUUUCACAAAGUAGCAGCUGGAGCCAUUAGGUGAACAUUUUUGUUAGGAUCUGCAGCCUUUUCAAUGAUUUGCAAUAGACUUAUUCUGUUUGGUUGUGGCCUGUACGUGUAAAAUGCUAUGCAAGCUCUGUUGUCUACUUGUCUGGGUGCUUUUAGCGUCUGUCACCUAUUGUUGAUCAACACAUGCAUGUGAUGCUUCCUUUUGGGUUAGAUUCCUCUUUGCCUCCCUCUUUUUCCCUUUGUCUUUUGGGGAAUGGGGGAUUAUUGCAUACAUAUAUGUUGCAUUAAUCAUAUGUUGCAAUGAUGUGUUGUCUGAACCUUGCUUUCAAAGCAUGAAAAACUUCCUAAAGGUAACUGUUGUUCAUUACUUACCCUUGUACAACUAUUCAUUUGUUAAUAAUUAGACACUCCCAUUAUGAUAUCCAAUCUAAUUGAAGACUCUUCUAGCAGCCCCUCCAUUAAUAGGAGAGGGGAUAUCAUAUCAAGAUUUCUGAUUCCCCUCUCCUACUCUAACUUUUCCUUGAAUCCUAGAUGAAAGGAUUUACAACAUUUUUGAAGACAAAACUUUGCUAAGUUUAUAGUCAAGAAAGUAUCAAGAGUCCUUUUCUUGCACUUGUUUUUGCUAGAGAAAAUUUUUUGAGUCAUAUGAGCAAAGCAGAAUAUAGGGUUCCAAGUUUUUUGUUGAUCAAGCAAGAACCUGAUUUGAAACGGGGAAUAAGGGAUUUGCAAUCCCCCGCCUUACUGGUUAGCCAUGUCACCAAAGGUUAGAAACCAAAAAGAAUGAGUGUAUCCCCUUUAUAACUUUAGUUAUAGAUUGGAUCCAUACCUUCAAUUAGUUAUAGUAUCUCAAAUAAAAAAAUUAGUAUUGUUCUUUUUUUCUUUCAAUAAAAAAAAUUCUUAAUUUGAUUUAUAUUAUAAUGUAAUAAUAUAACAACAAUUAUGAGUCUAGGUAAACCCCAUGAACGAAAGUUAUUGCACGGCAAAAAAUUCAAACCCACAAUGAAAAACACUUAGGUUUUUUGUUCUUUCAUCCUAUCUUAUGAAAAAUGAAUUUUUACGAGUAUCACAUUUGCAUUUUCAUUGAUUUAUGAAUGGUGAGUGUUUUUGAUUUCAUUUUGUGUCUUUGUCAUCUAUUGUCUUGCUUAUAAGUACUGAAAGUUAAGGUACCCAUUGCUGUACUAGUAGUCACAUCAUUUGAAGAUUUUAUAUUGGUUAAUGAGGUAAAUAAAAUAGAAUUAAUUUGCUAUUGGAAAAAUUACAAAUUCAUGCACAUGUUUAGCUCAAGAAUCAGAGAUUUAGUUAAAUAUAUGAACGGUUGAUUAGGAGACCUGUUGUGUAAUAUAAAAGAUUCUUGUACUGAGUGCUCAAAUGACAGUUAAGUCCUGAAAGUAGCCUCAUUUGUGUAAAAAAUGCUGAAUCCUAAAGGCUAGGAACAUUUUUCAAAUGACUCUUCUUGGUUUCUCAUCCUUCAUUGGCAGGAUUGAGGCUGAGUAAUGAUCCUUUUUAUGAGGGAAGAUUAUACAAAAGGCUGUUUAGAAAGCUUUCUCCAAAUUGCUAUAAAAACCAACCAUCAUAGCAAAACGGCAGUGUCUGUGUUUCUUCAUUUUUGGGUUCUUCCACACACUGAAAUAACCUUUGCAUAUUAACAGGAGCUGACCUCAACCUCUGGACCUUGUGAUCCUUUAUGUUGAGUUGAUGAAGCUAGCUCGUUAGAUUUCGAAGUUACUUAACAGCCAAAGACUAAUUUGUUGAAAACUAUUGGUGUUUUCACAGCAGCUUUAACAGGGACUGUGGCAAUUAACCUAUCAUGGGUUACCAACAUCCAGGUUUAUCUUUAAUUUCUUGUGCAAUCCUUUCUUUGUAGGUUGUAAUCAUUUUUUCAUCUUUGGCCAAUAUUUUGUAUAUUCUUGUAUUAUCCACAGAAGCCUUUCUUAAUUUGAUCUAAUUUCAUAAUGCAUAUUUCUAUGGCAUUGCUUUUUGUAAUAGGAUAUGCAGGCAUUAUCUUUGAAGAAUUUCUAGCCUUCAAUAAAAGUGGAAUAGAUUGUUGAUGGCUGUGAGUUUAUGGGUGGUAAGGAGCAUAGGGGUAAGAAUGAUUCUCAGGUGUUUAGGAUUGGACUGUGUUUUUCUGCUGUCCCUCUUCUUUUAAGCAUUAUCUUUGACAUGCAUUGUGGUUGAAUGCUUAAAAGGAAGAUUAUUUCUUUUUGCUGGAUUCUUUGAAAUUCUAAAUAUAUGUUGUCAUAGGCUCUCAGUUAGUGUCUUUCUCAUUGAGAUUGUGUCUUGAUUCUUCUUGUUUCAUUUUUAAACUUUUACAUAAAUUAGGGCUUUGUAACUUUACUUUGAAAAAUUCCCUUGGGUUGUGAUGUGAUGGUCUGUUUGAAACUUGAUGCGUUGUGUCGUCCAAGAAUGAAUUGCAGGGGAAUUAUGGAUUCUAAAUUUGUAUGGCUGUGUGUAGGAUUUAAGGAUUAAAAAUGUGUGGCUCUGUGUGUAUGGGAGUUUUCUUGUUUUUCUCUCUGUGGCAUGACAGAGAGAAAAACUUUUUAUUGUGGUUUCACUGGCUUGGCUUUUUUAGUUAUUGAUGAUGUCAAACUUUUUAUUGUGGUUGCAUCUAAUUUGAUUAAGUUGUUUGAGAAUGCAUUAGGAGAAUGUUACUGCAAAAGAAAUUCCUGGGUUGUGGUUUCUUCAUUCAUGAGUGUGCCUAGUUGUCAUUUGUUUGUCUCUUUGAAGCUUAAUUGGCUAUGUGCUCUAAGCAUACCUUGCAGGAUAGAAGGAAUUAAAGUUUCAAAAUUUCUAUGUCUGUGUGUUUGUUGGUUUUAUUCUGUGUGUUUGUUGGUUUUAUUUUGCAAGUUGGCUUUUAGAUUUCAUUCCCAUAGCUUCUGGUUAAUGUCUAAUUUUUUGUUGUAGUGCUUUUGAUUUGCUGGAGUUUGAUUUGAACUUCAAUUAAUAUUUGAUCUCUUAUGCUUUAACAUUCCAUUUAAAUUUUAGUUUUAUCUUUUGUGUACAGAUUGUAGUUUUGUAAACUUUUCUUAAUUGUGGUUGCAUUUAGUAGUCUAUACGGAAAUUAGUUGAUCGUGUACUUCGAACACGAUUUGCUAGAGAGAGGAAUUAGAGAUUGUACAGCAGUGUACUCCAAAUUUGUAUGGUUGAGUUUUUUAUUUUUUAUUUUUUUAUUUUGCUAGUUCAACUCUGUUGCAUGACAAAUUGUAAUCUUAGGUUUAAUUUCAAAAACUUAAUCCAGCCUCGCAUUGAGGAUGAGUGCUUACAAUGAAGAGUACCUCUUUUUUCUUGUGUUGUGUUUGAUUUUUCUUGUUUUGCUGAUUUCACUUUACUUUGUUGCAUGAUUGAUUACUUUCUUAAGAUUAAUUUCAUAAACUUAAAUCUAGUUAAGCAUUGAGAUGGAAGAUUGCCUCUUUCUUAUUGGAUUCUUUGAAAGUCUAUGAUCUUGCAUAGAAUUUUUGUUGUAUUGUAUGGUAACUUUCGAUGAUAAUUGUACUUGUUUUAGUACAUUUCAGAUCAUGAAGAGUUUGAUUAAAGUUGCUAAAAUUCUGUGUUUCUGAUUAUAAUAUAGACUUUGUUUUCUUAAGUAACACUGUUAUUAUUGGAAGCAUCCUGACUUAUGAUGUGGUUGGUGGCUGUUGUUUUUUAACUUUGGUAUAUAAUUGUUGUAUAUUUAUGUUGAGAUGCAAAACUACCUCUUAUCUUUGGCCUUUCAUUAUAAUCUUUUUUUGUUAAGGUUUUGUUGCUUUAGUUUUAAUUUCUCUUUAGGUUUUUAAAGGCCUUUUACUUUCGUAUCUUUGGGUUUUCGAGUUAAAACAUUUAUAAUAUCUGAUUUGUGAGCAAUGGAUGUUAUUAGGUUUAUUUUGCAGGCAAUCUUUGCCUUGAAUCUUUCUGCUUGAGCAAUGAAGUUCAAGUUUGAUUGUCUUUAUUUCUAAAAUAGCAUUGUUCUUUAUACAUGUGGCAUGUUGCUUGUGUUUAACUUAAAUGCAGCAUUGUUCUUUAUAUAUGUGGCAUGUUGUUUAUGUUUAACUUAAAUGCAUAUCACCUUAUUAUUAAGCAUUGUUGAAUGAGACUUUGACUUCAUUAAAAAUGGAAGGUGUUAUGUGUAUGUAUACUAAUUAGAUAUCUAAUUAAGAUUCUCUUGUAUUUUAUCUUGAAAUUUAUUUUUAUUUAUCGUGUAAUUUAUGUAAUUAACAAAAUUAUAUUAUAUAAUAUUUAUUUUUUAUUUAAUACAAUUUCGAUUAUUUUUUUUAUUGCUUAUUAUUUUAUUUAUUAUUUUGGAUUGUAUAAUAUUUAUCUUUUAUUAAGAGAUAAUAAUUAUUUUAUUUAAUAUAUAUUUUUUUUAUUUUUGAUUUUCUUAUUUUUUAUAUUUUUAUUGUAUUUUUGUUAAUCUUUUUUGUUUUUCAUUAACUUUUUUCUUUUAAAAUUUUUUUUUACUUAUUUUUUUAUGUGUUUUCAUUUUUUUUUGUUUUCACUUUUUUCUUUGUUUUAAAAUUUUUUACAAAACUUUUCUUUUUAUUUUAUUUCAUAUUUUCGCCUCUUCAUUUUUUAUUUUUUCUUGUUUUUCUAAUUUUUUUGACAGUUUUUUUUAUUUCUUGUUUCCAUUUUUUUUUACACUUCCUUGAAUUUUUUAUUUUUCAUAAAUCUUUUCUUUUUAUUUUUAUUCUUUUCUUAAUUUUUUUACAAAUUUUUUUUUUAUUUCUUAUUUUCAUUUUUAAAUUCUUAUAAUUUUUUUUGUUGCAUUUUCUUCUUUUGUUUUCAUUUUUAUUUGGCAUUAACUUUUCUCUUAUUUAUUUUUUUGUCUUUGAUUUUUUAUAUUAUUUUUAUAUUAUUUUUUUAUAUGUUUUUUAAUUUUUUUAAUUUUUUUAAUUUUUCCAUUUCAUUUCAUUUUUGUAUUUUUGUAUUUUUGAUUUUCUUAUAUUUUUAUCGCAUUUUUCUUUAUUUUAUAUUUUAUAUUUUAUAUAUUUUUUUUAUUUAUCUUUUUUGUUUUGCUUUAAUAUUUUUUUUCUUAUUUUAUUUUUAUUUUUAUUUGUUAUUUCUUUCUUUAUUUAUAUUUUCAUAAAUUUUUAUCAUGUUUUUUAUUUUUUUUAUCUUUCUAUUUUUUUUUAUUUAUCAUUAUUGGUUAUUUUUCGUUUUAUUUUUAUAAUUUUUCAUUAACUCUUUUUCCUUUUUCCUUUUAAAUUUUUCAUUUUUUUACUUAUCUUUUCAUGUGUUUUAUAUAUUUUUUUGUUUUCACAUUUUUCUUUGUUUUAAAAAUUUCUACAAAACUGUUUUAUCUUUUUAUUUUAUUUCAUAUUUUUGCCUUUUCAUUUUUUAUUUUUUCUUGUUUUUCUAAUUUUUUUCACAAAAUUCUUUUUAUUUCUUGUUUUCAUUUUUUUUAUACUUCUUUGGAUUUUUUUUCUCAUAAAUCUUGUCUUUUCAUUUUUAUUCUUUUCUUUUUUAUCUAACAAAUUUCUUUUUAUUUCUUAUAUUCAUUUUUAAAUUCUUAUAGUUUUUUUAUUUCAUUUUCUUCUUUUGUUUUAAUUUUUAUUUUGCAUUAACUUUUCUCAUUUUUAAUUUUUUGUCUUUGAUUUUUUAUAUUGUUUUCUUAUUAUUUCUUAUGUUUUUCAUUUUUUUUGUAUUUUUUUCUAUUUUCUCAUUUCAUUUCAUUUUAUUUUUUAUUUUUGAUUUUCUUACUUCUUAUAUUUUUUAUUGCAUUUUUGUUUAUUUUAUAUUUUAUAUUUUAUUGUAUUUUAUCUAUCUUUUUUGCUUUGCUUUAAUAUUUUUUUUCUUAUUUUAUUUUUAUUUUUUAUUUUGGUUUAUUUUUAUUUUCUUUCUUUAUUUAUAUUUUCAUAAAUUUUUAACAUGUUUUUUAUUUAUUUAUUUUUCUAUCUUUUUUUUUUUUUUUUUAUCGUUGGUUAUUUUCAAUUUUAUUUUUAUAAUUUUUCAUUAACUCUUUUUCUUUUUUUCUUUUAAAUUUUUUAUUUUUUUACUUAUCUUUUAAUGUGCUUUCAUAUAUUUUUUUUGUUUUCACAUUUUUCUUUGUUUUAAAAAUUUCUACAAAACUUUUUUAUCUUUUUAUUUUGUUUCAUAUUUUUGUCUAUUCAUUUUUUAUUUUUUCUUGUUUCAUAUAUUUUUGCUUUUUUAUUUUUUAUUUUUUCUUGGUUUUUUAAUAAUUUUCACAAAAUUCUUUUUAUUUCUUGUUUCUAUUUUUUUUUAUACUUCCUAGGAUUUUUUUUUUCAUAAAUCUUGUCUUUUCAUUUUUAUUCUUUUCUUAAUUCUUUUACAAAUUUCUUUUUAUUUCAUAUUUUCAUUUUUAAAUAAAUAAUAGUUUUUUUUUGUUGCAUUUUCUUCUUUUGUUUUCAUUUUUAGUUUUUUGGCUUAGAUUUUUUAUAUUGUUUUCUUAUUAUUUUUUAUAUGUUUUUCCAUUUUUUUUAUUUUUUUUCUAUUUUUUCAUUUCAUUUCAUUUGUCUUUUUUAAUUUUUAAUUUUUGAUUUUCUUACUUAUAUUUUUUAUCGCAUUUUUGUUUGUUUUAUAUUUUAUAUUUUUUGUAUUUUAUUUAUAUUUUUUGUUUUGCUUUAAUAUUUCUUUCUUAUUUUAUUUUUAAUUUUAAUCUCUUUCUUUAUUUAUAUUUUCAUAAAUUUUUAUCAUGUUUUUAAUUUUUUUAUUUUUCUAUCUUUUUUUUUUAUUUAUCGUUGUUGGUUAUUUUUUGUUUUAUUUUUGUAAUUUUUCAUUAACUCUUUUUCCUUUUUCUUUUAAAUUUUUCACUUUUUUACUUAUCUUUUCAUGUGCUUUCAUAUUUUUUUUUUUGUUUUCACAUUUUUCUUUGUUUUAAAAAUUUCUAUAAAACUAUUUUAUCUUUUUAUUUUGUUUCAUAUUUUUGCCUUUUCAUUUUUUCUUUUUUCUUGUGUUUCUAAUUUUUUUCACAAAAUUCUUUUUAUUUCUUGUUUCCAUUAUUUUUAUACUUCUUAGGAUUUUUUUUUCAUAAAUUUUGUCUUUUCAUUUUUAUUCUUUUCUUAAUUCUUUUACAAAUUUCUUUUUAUUUCUUGUUUUCAUUUUUAAAUUCUUAUAGUUUUUUUUUGUUGCAUUUUCUUCUUUUGUUUUCAUUUUUAAUUUUUUGGCUUUGAUUUUUUAUAUUGUUUUCUUAUUAUUUUUUAUAUGUUUUUCAAUUUUUUGUAUUUUUUUAUAUUUUCUCAUUUCAUUUCAUUCUUUCUUUUUUUAUUUUUUAUUUUUGAUUUUCUUACUUCUUAUAUUUUUUAUCGUAUUUUUGUUUAUUUUAUAUUUUAUAUUUUUUUGUAUUUUAUUUAUCUUUUUUGUUUUACUUUAAUAUUUUUUUCUUAUUUUAUUUUUGUUUUUUUUCUUUUUUUAUUUAUAUUUUAAUAAAUUUUUAUCAUGUUUUUUUUAAUUUUUCUAUCUUUUUUUUUUAUUUAUCGUUGUUGGUUAUUUUUUCUUUUAUUUUUAUAAUUUUUCAUUAACUCUUUCUUCUUUUUCCUUUUAAAUUUUUCAUUUUUUUACUUAUCUUUUCAUGUGCUUUCAUAUUUUUUUUUGUUUCCACAUUUUUCUUUGUUUUAAAAAUAUCUACAAAACUUUUUUUUCUUUUUAUUUUGUUUCAUAUUUUUGCCUCUUCAUUUUUUAUUUUUCUUGUUUUUUUAAUUUUUUUCACAAAAUUCUUUUUAUUUCUUGUUUCCAUAUUUUUUAUACUUCUUUGGAUUUUUUUUUCAUAAAUCUUUUCAUUUUUAUUCUUCUCUUAAUUCUUUACAAAUUUUUUUUUAUUUCUUAUUUUCAUUUUUAAAUUCUUAUAGUUUUUUGUUGUUGCAUUUUCUUCUUUUGUUUUCAUUUUUAAUUUGUAUUAACUUUUCUCAUUUUUAAUUUUUUGUCUUUGAUUUUUUAUAUUGUUUUUUUAUUAUUUUUUGUAUGUUUUUCAAUUUUUUGUUUUUUUUUUGUAUGUUUUUCAUUUCAUUUCAUUUUUCUCUUUUUUUUUUAUUUUUGAUUUUCUUACUUCUUAUAUUUUUUAUCGCAUUUUUAUUUAUUUUAUAUUAUAUAUAUUUUUUGUAUUUUAUUUAUCUUUUUUGUUUUGCUUUAAUAUUUUUUUCUUAUUUUAUUUUUAUUUUCAUAAAUUUUUAUCAUGUUUUUUAUUUUUUAUUUUUAUUUAUCGUUGUUGGUUAUUUUUUGUUUUAUUUUUAUAAUUUUUCAUUAACUCUUUUUCCCUUUUCAUUUUUUUACUUAUCUUUUCAUGUGCUUUCAUAUUUUUUUUUGCUUUCACAUUUUUCUUUGUUUUAAAAAUUUCUAGAAAACUUUUUCAUCUUUUUAUUUAAUUUCAUAUUUUUGUCUCUUCAUUUUUUAUUUUUUCUUGUUUUUCUAAUUUUUUUCACAAAAUUCUUUUUAUUUCUUGUUUCCAUUUUUUUUUAUACUUGGCUUUUUUUUUCAUAAAUCUUUUCAUUUUUAUUCUUUUCCUAAUUCUUUUACAAAUUUCUUUUUAUUUCUUAUUUUCAUUUUUAAAUUCUUAUAGUUUUUUGUUGUUGCAUUUUCUUCUUUUGUUUUCAUUUUUAAUUUGCAUUAACUUUUCUCAUUUUUAAUUUUUUGUCUUUGAUUUUUUAUAUUGUUUUUUUAUUAUUUUUUGUAUGUUUUUCAAUUUUUUGUUUUUUUUUUGUAUUUUUUCAUUUCAUUUCAUUUUUCUCUUUUUUUUUUUAUUUUUGAUUUUCUUACUUCUUAUAUUUUUUAUCGCAUUUUUGUUUAUUUUAUAUUUUAUAUUUUUUUGUAUUUUAUUUAUCUUUUUUGUUUUGCUUUAAUAUUUUUUUCUUAUUUUAUUUUUAUUUUCACAAAAUUCUUUUUAUUUCUUGUUUCCAUUUUUUUUUAUACUUCGAUUUUUUUUUCAUAAAUCUUUUCAUUUUUAUUCUUUUCCUAAUUCUUUUACAAAUUUCUUGUUAUUUCUUAUUUUCAUUUUUAAAUUCUUAUAGUUGGUUGGUGGCUGUAGGGUGGCUGGUCGGGAGGCUGGUCGGGAGCUGGCGACAGCGGUGCCAUACCAACUCCCUGAUUUCUGUCUUAUUCUGUUUCUUUUGUUUGUUUUUUUUUUGUUUUGUUUAUUAAUAAAUUUUUUAUUAAAAAUAUUAUUAUUAUUAUUAAAACAAUAGACCCGGACAAAAUCGAUGUCUACAAUACUAGUCAUUUUGAUAUGCACAAUGAUUUUAAGUUCGUUAUGAACUUUAUGAUUUUUUCAAAUAAUGUUAAUCAAUCUGUUUUUCAAUUUCAUUUGUAUAGGAAUACAAAAGAGAGUUUUAGAGUUCAAAUAAGAGGCUGUUGUUGAUUCAUUUGUUGUUGAUUCAUUUGUUGAUCUAAUUGAUAUGUAUGUGAUUAAAUUAGUAUUAUGUAUCAGAAUGCUAUGUAAGACAAUCCUUGUGCCCUGUCUCUUUGUUUUAUAUACCUGAUGGACCAAAUACAUAAUAUAUAGGAAAAUGUACCAUUAACGAAUUUUCAACUGUGGAUACAUGUCUAUCCUUACCAUACAGAAACAAAUGCUAUUAAUAAGCCAAUUAUGUUAUAUUAUAAAGCAGUUUUUUUUUUUUUUUUGUGGCUUUACACAUACCUUAGUUGCAAUAACUCCUCUUGCCCUGGUAGGAGGUCUGAAGUUCAAAUGCUCUCCCACAAAUUAUUAACUAUUAAAAGAAGAUGCAAAUAUUUGGAUCUGCUUAAAAAAUUUGUGUUCAAAU
rnacentral:lncRNA from 1 species